UAAAUUUUUCAAGUUAAGUCAUAUAAGCCAUAUAAUAGACUUUAGAUGCAUAUCAAGUUUUCCAUGUCAUGCUAGACAAAUAAGAUAUCGAAAACUGGUUAUACAUACCUUUGAAUUUAUACUUUCAAGCAUUUGAACUAUAGGUUCAAAACUACAUGUAUUUCAUGUGGAAUCAAUUCUUCUUGAAUUGUAUCUCUUCCAUUUAGUUACUUUCUUUGGGUCA
rnacentral:lncRNA from 1 species